rnacentral:rRNA from 1 species
UAGUCUCGCACAGAUGCAUAUCAAUAAGCGGAGGAAAAGAAACUAACAAGGAUUCCCUCAGUAACGGCGAGUGAAGCGGGAAGAGCUCAAAUUUGUAAUCUUGAAAGGUCACCUUUCACGAAUUGUAGUUUAAAGAAGUGUUUUCUGUUACGAUCGUAAUAUAAGUUCUUUGGAAUAGGACAUCACAGAGGGUGAGAAUCCCGUCUAUGAUUGCGAUUUGUAGCUUUGUGAUACACUUUCAAAGAGUCGGGUUGUUUGGGAAUGCAGCCCAAAACGGGAGGUAAAUUUCUUCUAAGGCUAAAUAUUGGCGAGAGACCGAUAGCGAACAAGUACCGUGAGGGAAAGAUGAAAAGAACUUUGAAAAGAGAGUUAAAUAGUACGUGAAAUUGUCAAAAGGGAAGCGUUUAACACCAGUGUUGUUUUCUGAAAAUCAACCUCUGUUAGCUUUAUGCAUGUUUGUUUAGACCUAAUCAGCUAUCUUGCAUGUUCUAUUGUUUGCAGUGGUGCACUUUUCAGUUUACAGGUCAACAUCAGUUUUUUUUACCGUAAAAAAGUUAAGAAAGGUAGCUCAUGGCUCCGGUCGUGAGUGUUAUAGUCUUUUUCCUAUGCGGUAGGAGAGACUGAGGUCUGCAGUGUAGGCUAUUUGGCUAGAUACUCAGGUGCUAUGUGAUACCAUUUCAUAAACAACUUGUUGAUUAUGUUUUGUCUAUUGCAUACUCGCUUGUACUAUCAUACCUACGCUUAGGAUGUUGAGUCGUAGAGCACGCAG